rnacentral:misc_RNA from 1 species
GGAUGCUCUGUGCUGGUAAUUCAACAGUGAAAGUCUGCCACUUUAAUACCGUAUAAAUAUUUAACACUUGUACUCUCAUGACACCAAUAUUCUUAGCAGAGCAUUUACCCUAAACAUAAAAUCAUAGACUCACUCUGACAUUGGCAAAUCCUCACGGAAGCCAUUAUACAAGAAGAAGAAGAAGAGUUUUACAAAUGUCCGUAAGCUAAUGUGUUGUGAAAAUGAGUGAUACAUGCGGAAAAAAACGUGAAUUACGAUUGACAGGGGUUUGUUUACCAAAUAAGACUCUUCCAAAAAAACGGAAUAUACA